ACUGAAACAGAUCUGGUUUUUCAUCCUUACCAUUUUUUCCUCCGCCUCUUCUCUGCUACCAUUUCUUCUCCGCCAUAACUGAUAGGUUUGCAUCUUCUCUGCUACCAGGAGUCUGAUAAAGAUCAUGAUUAUGAUAUUUAGAGAAAUGGAAUGGAAUCGGGGAUAGUUGAUGGUCACGGUGUCGAUCCGUGUGUUGAUUCAAACUCAACAGAAAGGUAACGACAUCGAAGUAUAUUUGAGACCGUUAAUAGAUGAGCUCAAGGAGUUAUGGGAGGCAGGGUUAGAUACAUAUGACUCCUCAAGAAAUGAAAUGUUCGAUCUGCCUGCGGGAUUACUAUGAACUAUAAGUUAUUCUCCUGGACUUGCAAUGCUCUCAAGAUGGAGUAAUUAAGGGAAAUUGGCAUGUUCAACGUGUCUUGUUGAAACUUGGCACCAGUGGUUUAAUGAACUAUAGGAGACUGUUAAGGUGAACUCUCUAGGUGUUUCUGUUGCCCAGAUUUCGUACUUGCAUAUUUGGAAGUUUUAAUGGAAAACUUUGUUAUGAAUGCAAGUUUAUAUAAUCAAAUUUGUUUUUUACUUUAUAUGAAAUGGUGUAAGUUUGUUCUGAAA